UCUGGUUGAUCCUGCCAGUAGUCAUAUGCUUGUCUCAAAGAUUAAGCCAUGCAUGUCUAAGUACAAACCUUAAUACGGUGAAACCGCGAAUGGCUCAUUAAAUCAGCUAUGGUUCCUUAGAUCGUCUCAUCCUACUCGGAUAACUGUGGAAAAUCUAGAGCUAAUACGUGCUUACAAGCCCUGACCUCACGGGAGGGGCGCAUUUAUUAGAUCAAAACCAAUCGGGGCUUGCCCCGUCUGCUUGGUGACUCUGGAUAACUUUUGUGCUGAUCGCAUGGCCUCUGCGCUGGCGACGUAUCUUUCAAGUGUCUGCCCUAUCAACUUACGAUGGUAGGUGAUAUGCCUACCAUGGUUAUAACGGGUAACGGGGAAUCAGGGUUCGAUUCCGGAGAGGGAGCCUGAGAAACGGCUACCACAUCUAAGGAAGGCAGCAGGCGCGCAAAUUACCCACUCCCGGCACGGGGAGGUAGUGACGAAAAAUAACGAUACGGGACUCUUUUGAGGCCCCGUAAUUGGAAUGAGUACACUUUAAAUCCGUUAACAAGUAUCUAUUGGAGGGCAAGUCUGGUGCCAGCAGCCGCGGUAAUUCCAGCUCCAAUAGCGUAUAUUAAUGUUGCUGCAGUUAAAAAGCUCGUAGUUGGAUCUGAGGACUCGAAUUGGUGGUGCACCAUACGGUGUUACUGCCGAUUCGGCCUACCUAGUCGGUGCUCGCUCUUGGUGUUCUUAAUUGAAUGCCCUGAGUGCCCGGCAAGUUUACUUUGAAAAAAUUAGAGUGCUCAAAGCAGGCCAUUAGCCGGAAUACUUCAGCAUGGAAUAAUGGAAUAGGACUUCGGUUCUAUUUUGUUGGUUUUCGGAACCCGAGGUAAUGAUUAAGAGAGACAGACGGGGGCAUUCGUACUGCGGUGUUAGAGGUGAAAUUCUUGGAUCGCCGCAAGACGAACAACUGCGAAAGCAUUUGCCAAGAAUGUUUUCAUUAAUCAAGAACGAAAGUCAGAGGUUCGAAGACGAUCAGAUACCGUCCUAGUUCUGACCAUAAACGAUGCCAACUGGCGAUCCGAGAUCGUUUGCUUAUUGACCUCUCGGGCAGCCUCCGGGAAACCAAAGUUUUUAGGUUCCGGGGGAAGUAUGGUUGCAAAGCUGGAACUGUUCAAUUGCAACUCUGCCUGUGACACCAAGUGGUCGGUUACUUGGUCUGUUCUGGCCCGGAGUCGGUAGGGUUUCCGGCCUUGUGCUCUUUCCUUACUGUUCUCUGUAACGCCGAAGGCGGGGCUUCCACGGUGGGGAAGCGGUUGUACAAAUCCGGCAAAUCCAGCCAAAUGGGUUCCGGACUCUGUCCAACCUGCAACUGGUAACAGCCUCGGCUGGCUAACAUUUGAGCUGGGACUCGCUUGGGAGGAGCGAGGAUAAUAUAAACCUCUAUGUGACUGAGGUGAGGAAUCUGGUUCUCGUAAAAUGGCUGGAGAUCCCGAGCCUGUAAGUCAUAAAUUAGUUCCCCCACGAGGGGAGGUGUCGAAUUGAAGCCAGUGCGUGCCCUUACUAGUUUAAGGGAUUGUAUACUUCCUUUGGUGUACCCACCUGGAAGUGCCCAAGGGGUCCUAUCCCUGCACUCCAUCCCCGAUUGGAGUCAGGUGACGGCUCCUUA
rnacentral:rRNA from 1 species